rnacentral:lncRNA from 1 species
UUUCCCAUCUGAUAAUCGCCUCUAAAUCCCACACCCUCUCAAACUCUCUCGAAACCCUAAUCACCUUCAACCCCAAAACUCACCGAAAUCUAUGGCUUCUCAGGUCAUGUAUAUACUUACCUCCUACUAGUCCUAUAUUCCUGAUGCUCGAAGGUUCAAGGCCAAACUUUGAAGUUCUUUACUCAGACCUUUACCGAUUCGAGGUUUCCAGCCUUGCUCCAGCAUAUCCAAGACACAGGAGCCUGAUUCUUGACUUCUCUGACUCAAGAUCAGACCUGUUUCCAAG